AGUGGUACUACCCAUAAUGCACCUAAUUUUACCUGAUCUCAGAAGCUAAGCUUGGCCAAGACUGGUCAGCAUUUGGAUAGGAGAGAAAGACAGUAAUGUGCCAGAA
rnacentral:rRNA from 1 species